GACAGAGGCCUCGAGCGUUAGGCGGAAUCACUGGGCUUAAAGCGUGUGUAGGCGGAUCGUUAAGUACCUUGUGAAAUCCCACGGCUCAACCGUGGAACGGCUGGGUAUACUGGCGGUCUUGGGCCAUUCAGGGGCGACUGGAACAAGCGGUGGAGCGGUGAAAUGCGUAGAUAUCGCUUGGAACGCCGAAGGUGAAAACAGGCUGCUGGGGUUGCGCCGACGCUGAGACACGAAAGCCAGGGGAGCAAACGGG
rnacentral:rRNA from 1 species